AGAGAUGCAUUGGGUUUAAAGGGUGCGCAGGCGGUUUUGUAAGACAGAGGUGAAAUCCCCGGGCUCAACCUGGGAACUGCCUUUGUGACUGCAAGGCUGGAGUGCGGCAGAGGGGGAUGGAACUCCGCGUGUAGCGGUGAAAUGCGUAGAUAUGCGGAGGAACACCGAUGGCGAAGGCAAUCCCCUGGGCCUGCACUGACGCUCAUGCACGAAAGCGUGGGGAGCAAACA
rnacentral:rRNA from 1 species